rnacentral:rRNA from 1 species
AGUGAACGCUGGCGGUAGGCCUAACACAUGCAAGUCGAACGGCAGCACAGUAAGAGCUUGCUCUUACGGGUGGCGAGUGGCGGACGGGUGAGGAAUACAUCGGACUCUACUUUUUCGUGGGGGAUAACGUAGGGAAACUUACGCUAAUACCGCAUACGACCUACGGGUGAAAGCAGUGGAUCUUCGGACCUUGCGCGAUUGAAUGAGCCGAUGUCGGAUUAGCUAGUUUGCGGGUUAAAUGCCCACCAAGGCGACGAUCCGUAGCUGGUCUGAGAGGAUGAUCGCCGACACUGGAACGUAGACACGGUCCAGACUCCUACGGGAGGCAGCAGUGGGGAAUAGUGGACAAUGGGCGCAAGCCUGACCCAGCCACACCGAGUGUGUGAAGAAGGCCUUCGGGUCGUAAAGCCCUUUUUUGGGGAAAGAAAAGAAGCAGCCUAAUACCCCGCGGGACUGACGGUACCCAAUGAAGAAGCACCGGCUAACUACGUG